GGUAGCGUGGCCGAGCGGUCUAAGGCGCUGGUUUAAGGCACCAGUCUUACUCCGGAGGCGUGGGUUCGAAUCCCACCGCUGCCA
rnacentral:tRNA from 1 species